AGGAUAAACGCUGGCGGCGUGCCUAACACAUGCAAGUCGAACGUCUCUUCUUUCGGGAAGAGGAGUGGCGGACGGGUGAGGAACACGUGGGAACCUGCCCUUUAGUGAGGAAUACCGGCGAGAAAUCGCCGACAAGACCGCAUAGCCCUCUUUGAUGAGAGUCAAAGAAGGAAAGCUUCGCAAGAGGCGCUAGAGGAGGGGCCUGCGUCCGAUUAGCUAGUUGGUGGGGUAAGAGCCUACCAAGGCGUCGAUCGGUAGCUGGUCUGAGAGGACGAUCAGCCACACUGGGAUUGAGAACGGCCCAGACUCCUACGGGGGCAGCAGUGAGGAAUUUUCGGCAAUGGGGGAAACCCUGACCGAGCAACGCCGCGUGCAGGAAGACGGCCUUCGGGUUGUAAACUGCUUUCUCGGGACGAGCAAGGACGGUACCCGAGGAAGAAGCCCGGCUAACUACGUGCCAGCACGCCGC
rnacentral:rRNA from 1 species